rnacentral:rRNA from 1 species
UAAUACGGGGGGUGCGAGCGUUGUCCGGAAUCACUGGGCGUAAAGGGCGCGUAGGUGGUUUGAUAAGGGUGUGGUGAAAGUCCGGGGCUCAACCCCGGAUCUGCCGUGCCGACUGUCAAACUCGAGGACUGUAGAGGCAGACGGAAUUCCGGGUGUAGCGGUGGAAUGCGUAGAGAUCCGGAGGAAGACCGGUGGCGAAGGCGGUCUGCUGGGCAGUUUCUGACACUGAGGCGCGACAGCGUGGGGAGCAAACAGGAUUAGAUACCCUGGUAGUCCACGCCGUAAACGAUGGGUACUAGGUGCCUGGGGGAGCGACCCUCUGGGUGCCGGCGCUAACGCAGGAAGUACCCCGCCUGGGGAGUACGACCGCAAGGUU